rnacentral:rRNA from 1 species
GACGCACGCUGGCGGCGUGCCUAAUACAUGCAAGUCGAGCGAAGCGGCGGAUGGGUGAGUAACUCGUGGGUAACCUGCCCUUAAGUCUGGGAUACAAUUUGGAAGAAGAUGCUAAUACCGGAUACUAAUGGAUGGAUAGUAGCUGCGUUACACGGUUGGUAAGGUAACGGCUUACCAAGGCGAUGAUGCAUAGCCGAGUUUAGAGACUGAUCGGCCACAUUGGUACUGAGACACGGCCCAAACUCCUACGGGAGGCAGCAGUAGGGAAUCUUCCACAAUGGACGAAAGUCUGAUGGAGCAACGCCGCGUGAGUGAAGAAGGUUUUCGGAUCGUAAAGCUCUGUUGUUGGUGAAGCGGUAAUCAACCAGAAAGUCACGGCUAACUACGUGCCAGCAGCCGCGGUAAUUC